GGACCUUUAGCUCAGUUGGUUAGAGCUGACGGCUCAUAACCGUUCGGUCGCAGGUUCGAGUCCUGCAAGGUCCA
rnacentral:tRNA from 3 species